rnacentral:rRNA from 1 species
CUUGGCUGAAUAUAUAGGCUAAGUGUAGCGAACCUGGAGAACUGAAACAUCUAAGUACCCAGAGGAAAAGAAAUCAACCGAGAUUCCCAAAGUAGUGGCGAGCGAACUGGGAUCAGCCUUCAAUAUUUAAUAUUUGAAUUAGUCAAAUUUUCUGGAAAGUUAAACCGUAGUGGGUGAUAGUCCCGUAGGCGAAAAUUCAAAUAUAGAACUAAGAUUGAGAUAAGUAGGGCGGGACACGUGAAAUCCUGUUUGAAGAUAGGGGGACCAUCCUCUAAGGCUAAAUACUCGUAAUCGACCGAUAGUGAACCAGUACCGUGAGGGAAAGGCGAAAAGAACCCCGGAAGGGGAGUGAAAUAGAUCCUGAAACCGCAUGCAUACAAACAGUGGGAGCCCGCAAGGGUGACUGCGUACCUUUUUGUAUAAUGGGUCAGCGACUUACAUUCAGUAGCAAGCUUAACCGAAUAGGGAGGCGCAGCGAAAGACGAGUCUUAAUAGGGCGAUAGUU